CCUGACGGCCCCGCCCCGCACCCCAAGUUUUGGGAGGGCUUCGCUCUCGCACCCGGCUCCAGGACCCAACGGGCACGCGCUCUCCGCGGCUUUCAGCGACCCUGCAGCCCCCACGCACCCGCCUGCAAAGCCGAGGGUUAAGCUGGGGAAAGGGGGCCUUUAGGAAGGAAACCCCCCUGGAAAAGCCCGGCAGCUCCAAAAACACGAAUGAAACGCAGCUCCAGCCUCCGCCCCUCCAGGUGCUGGUGGCCCCUCUUGCGGUUUGUCUGAGGCUAGGGGACUAGGCGCAUCGCCUAGCGAGACCCCAGUGGCCUUUCUGGCCAGUUUGUAACCGGAACUAGACCGACCCCAGCGCUGGAGCGGGUGCUCACGACCGAGAGUGGUGCCCUGCUUGGCACUGCCACUGGAUCCUCUGGCUUAUGAAGCCGUCCAGGACAGGACUGGGGGGUGGUGGUCCUUAGUUCUCUGAGUGGGGUCAUGCAGAGUGGUUUCCUCGAGGUCCCACGCCCGUCUCAGGAAGCCGGAAACGCAAGAUGCCGGGCGCUCGGCCCGAACCCGUGCCGCGGCCCAAGGGGCAAGGCGGAUACCCAGGCGAGGCCUAAAGGGCCGGACUCUGACCCCCCCACCUCCAGACACUGCAGGGCUCCGCCGGCCAGAGGCGGCCUUGGCGCCAACUACACCUACCAGCGAGGGCCCCCGGGCCCACCGAUGCGCCCUCCUAGCCCCGCGCUCCUUCGGGGAGUUCCGAGGUGACUCAGAGACGCAACUGACACAAUUCUGAGGCCCCCAGGUAAGCCUGGCGCUACGGGAUGGAGACGUUACCUGGUUUUGAAAGGCCCAGCUAAACCAGCGAGACCCGCGUGCGCUCCGCGGGGAAGCAAGCCUCCCCAGGGGCGCACCUGGAAGCGCUCCCGCCCCCUGGUCCUUAUCUCUGAAUCGAAACCGAACCUGGACCCAUCUAGAUAAUUGGACUGAGCAAUUAAGGACGCUUCACUCUCAACUGUUAGCAUUUUUUCCUAAGGCUCUCGGAGGCGGAAUCAGCUGGAAAGGAACAUUGCUAAGUAGGAAUUUCAGGCACCUGUGAACUGAGCCUACUCAACAAUCGGCCCUUACUCUUAACCAAACUCAGCAAAGGAAGAAAGACCAAGUUGCUGAGGAUGCACAGAGCCACAUGGGUGCGGUCCUUUAGAAACAGGAAUUCUGAGUCAGUAGAUAUGGAAAUGUUAUGGUUUGCAGUCUUCAGAACAUGCUGCUUUUAUGCCGUUCACAUGAUUCUCCUUGGACUGCGACGUAAAGUCCAAGAAACAAGUCGAAUGUUUGUAUAUUCAUAGAAAAAACAUCUGUAAGGGUGCACACCGACUGUUAACCACGGUUUCGCGGGUAGGGGAAACAAGGGAGUUACAUUUUUUUACUACAUUGACUUUGGAUUUUGUAUUUUUCCAGUUGUAUUUACUUUCAUAAUUUAGAAAGCUAAUAAAACAUGUUUAAAGAAA